UGACCAGCCAUGCCGCGUGCAGGAGACUGCCCUAUGGGUUGUAAACUGCUUUUAUACGGGAAGAACCGCACCCUCGUGAGGGUGUUUGACGGUACCGUAAGAAUAAGGAUCGGCUAACUCCGUGCCAGCAGCCGCGGUAAUACGGAGGAUCCAAGCGUUAUCCGGAAUCAUUGGGUUUAAAGGGUCCGUAGGCGGGAUAAUAAGUCAGUGGUGAAAGUCUGCAGCUUAACUGUAGAAUUGCCAUUGAUACUGUUAUCCUUGAGUUAUUAUGAAGUGGUUAGAAUGAGUAGUGUAGCGGUGAAAUGCAUAGAUAUUACUCAGAAUACCGAUUGCGAAGGCAGAUCACUAAUAAUAUACUGACGCUGAUGGACGAAAGCGUAGGUAGCGAACAGGAUUAGAUACCCUGGUAGUCUACGCCGUAAACGAUGGUUACUAGCUGUUCGGAUCAUUU
rnacentral:rRNA from 1 species